rnacentral:rRNA from 1 species
AUUGAACGCUGGCGGCAGGCUUAACACAUGCAAGUCGAACGAGUGGCGGACGGGUGAGUAAUGCAUGGGCAUCUGGCUGAUGGAGGGGGAUAACUACGGGAAACUGUAGCUAAUACCGCGUACCAUAGGAUGAGCCCACGUGUGAUUAGGUAGUUGGUGGGGUAAAGGCGCACCAAGGCGACGAUCCCUAGCUGGUCUGAGAGGAUGACCAGCCACACUGGGACUGAGACACGGCCCAGACUCCUACGGGAGGCAGCAGUGGGGAAUAUUGCGCAAUGGGGGCAACCUGACGCAGCCAUGCCGCGUGAAUGAAGAAGGCCUUCGGGUUGUAAAGUUCUUUCGGUAGGGAGGCGUUAACUACAGAAGAAGCACCGGCUAACUCCGUGCCAGCAGCCGCGGUAAUAC